rnacentral:misc_RNA from 1 species
GAUUGAAGAACGUAGCGAAAUGCGAUACGUAAUGUGAAUUGCAGAAUUCAGUGAAUCAUCGAAUCUUUGAACGCAUAUUGCGCUCUCUGGUAUUCCGGAGAGCAUGCUUGUUUGAGUAUCAGUAAACACCUCAACUCCCCUUUCUUUUUUUGAAAUGGGAGCUGGACUUGAGUGAUCCCAACGCUUUUCUCACCGAAAAGUGGCGGGUUACUUGAAAUGCAGGUGCAGCUGGACUUUUCUCUGAGCUAAAAGCAUAUCUAUUUAGUCUGCCUAAAAAACAGAUUAUUACCUUUGCUGCAGCUAACAUAAAGGAGAUUAGUUCUUGUGCUGACUGAUGCAGGAUUCACAGAGACAGCUUCGGCUGGCCUUUGUAAACUCGAUCUCAAAUCAAGUAAGACUACCCGCUGAACUUAAGCAUAUCAAUAAGCGGAGGA